UACAGAGGGUGCGAGCGUUAAUCGGAAUUACUGGGCGUAAAGCGCACGUAGUCGGCUUUGCAAGUCGGGUGUGAAAUCCCCGGGCUCAACCUGGGAACUGCAUCCGAGACUGCAUUGCUAGAGUAUGGGAGAGGGAAGCGGAAUUUCUGGUGUAGCAGUGAAAUGCGUAGAUAUCAGAAGGAACAUCAGUGGCGAAGGCGGCUUCCUGGACCAAUACUGACGCUGAGGUGCGAAAGCGUGGGGAGCAAACAGG
rnacentral:rRNA from 1 species